CACUUGCGUGUCACUCUCUGGUGGUCGUCCGGGAGGUCGUCGGGAUGAAGUAAGAUGUCUUCAUCAGAGUUGAACUUUUCAACCUUUUCUUCUUACGCAUGCUCUCUGAGCCCUUGGUCUCAGUCCAAACCGCAAGGUUGGUUUGAUCCAGUUCUCAGGGUCCAAGAAGCACAUCG